CUCCAGUCCACCCACAAAUGAAUUAUCAGGCAUGAACCUGGAGGCGCGUAUCAAUGAAAGUCCCGAUCCGAAUGCCCUGGAGGGAGUCAUCAUUGAGAGAAGUCCCAGUGACAAGUGAGUUAUAAGAGAUGUACACAUGGCCAGGUGCAGUGAUUCGCACCUGUAAUCUGAGCACUUUGGGAGGCCGGGGCAGGCAGAUCCCCUGAGGGUAGGUGUUCGAGACCAGGCUGGCAAACGCGGUGAAACCCCGUCUCUACUAAAAGUAUAACAACUAGCCAGGUUCUGUGGCAGGUGCCUCUAAUCCCAGCUACUCGGGAGGCUAAGGUAAGAGAAUCGCUUGAACUGGGGAAGGUAGAGGUUGCAGUGAGCCGAGAGCAUGCCACUGCAUUCCAACC
rnacentral:lncRNA from 10 species